GGCCCGGGGUUCCCAAACGGAGCAGGGCUUGCUUCGCCCAAAUUGGGGUGCUGCACAUGUUUGUGAUUCGGAGGGCAGAUGGGGAUCUGCUGCCCCGACACCGAGCGCAAAUCCUUCCCGGUGUCAGAAGUCCCGGGCGUUCUCUCCAUCACAUUUUGGCUCUGCUCAAGGAAUUACGGUGUCCUGUCUGCAGGAGACAGAUGGGUGCUGGAGCAAAACCAGCUCUGGUACCUGUGUGACAGAAUUUGCACCCUCACAACUGGUUCUUUUUCUGGAGAGGAGAACCUCUCCAGCUCCGAGGUCACGCUUGGUGGAGCUGGCUUGGCCGGCGGCUUUCUGGUUUCAUCUCGAGUUGCUCUUCCAUUUUUCCUUCCUCUGGGGAUCCGUCUGCUGCUCGAGAAGAGGAGCUGUGCCAGGCAGCGGUGACUUGUUCCGAUCUGCAGUGCUCUAGGGAAGGCAGCGGUGGCUCCGUUCCUCAGAUGUCCUGGCAGAUUUGGUGGCGCGUGCUGGAAGGAGGUGGGGGCGAGAGGGGAACGAGCGCAUCUGCUUGCAGAACUGCUUCAGCCCUUGACGUAAGGAUGCUGCUUCCAUUCUCCUCCUACCUACAGACUGUGAGUAGAUACCAGACGUUUAAAACACGUAGUAACAGGGAUCCAAAUCCUGCACCUGCCAACCUUGGUGCUGAGUCCUCGCUCACCUCGUCCAGGGCGCACGGAACAAAAGUCGACCUUGCCCGGUGCUGGAUGUGGAAUCCCAAACGCAGCAGCAGAAGUGAAAGAAAAUCCUGAUCACGGCAGAUAAAUUCCUCUGCUUCUGCUCAUCGUUCAGAUGUUUGGGAGGGGAUUCAUCCCAAGAGGCUUAUCCUGGGACAGCUCUUGCCUGUGAUCUCCCAGUCUUGGAAGCUGAAGCAUGUUAACAAAUUGUCCUGUAUUUAAUAUUAAACAAAACAACAAGCUUCUGUGUUUCUAACCGUCACUACUGGGCUAGAGCUGAGCUUUGAAGGAUGCUUUAAUGCUGCUCUGGAAAGCAGAGCCCAGAAAGCCCGCGAGGCGGAGUGAAACUCGAGCAGCAGCAGCAGCAGACGAUGAGGCCGAGGUCCACGGCUGCCUUUCUGGAGGCAAAAACCAGCCUCUAAUCCAAGCGCAAUGCCAAGUAUGUUGCGAGGCUCCGCAGGGAUUGAGUUCUGCAGAAAACCAACAUUGUGCAAGUUGUCCAGGGCUCCUGAUACGGACACAAACCGUCCCCAGGAACCGAGCCUGCUGCUGUGCAGGACCAAGAGGAGCCUCUGGUUGGGUGUCACGCAGUUUGUGAUGGGAAGUGCUGCGUCUCAGGGCACUCGGCACGUGGUAGCUGGGCUGGACAGAGCCGGAGGCUGCGUGUAAAGAACAUGCCUGGACCAUCCGGGAGAGGAACUGGACGAGCUGCUGAGCCCUCCCAGCUUUAAUUGCUUUUUCUCGCUUGGCACAAGCAAUUUGGCAUCCUGGUUGCUUUGCUGGUUUUCAGCAAAGGUUUUGGAGCCCUGCUUCCUGAACAGCCUGUCACCGAGUAAACCCUCCUGACUUUGUUUAAAGGAUCUGUAGUCUUCAGCUCUGAACUCCUCGUUAGCCACAAGAAAUGCAAAAGUACUGAUGUGACGGAGGAAAACCGUGUGGCUUUCUGCAGAAGUGGCAGCUGCUUUCAAAAAGUAACUUACAUUUUCCAAGGCCAUCAGUUCAUUGACGCUGUUUCUGCCCAGGUUUUCCAUCUUUUCUGCCUGCCUGCCUGUUUUUUCCCCCCCUCACUUCUCUGCUCUGGUUUUCUGACCGCAUCUCCUUGCCCGCAGUGCUACCAGAUCCUGAAUUUGUGGGCUUUUCCCUUGGAUAAAACCCCACCAAAUGCAGCACUGCUGGGCUUCAGCUGUGUGUCCCUUUGGGGAAGGAUUCUCUUGUGCCUACAGAUCAGGAGUUAUUUAAAUAUUUCUGCUUGGUGCUCUGCUGGAUGACUGUAACGUGCUGCAGAUUUUUAAUUCAGCUGGAAAAUGACUGUAAAGACGUGUAGGUGACACCAGCUGGCCUCUCCCAGGUAUGGAAGAUGAGCUUCAUCAGCAGCUGAAUGCUAACGAGCUUGCUGGUAACGGCAGGAGAGGAGUUCAGUCGAUGGAGCAAAUUGUUUUAAGGUUAAACCAGAGCCCUCGCAGCGACCUGAGACGGGAGCCUGGCACCAGGCAGUCCCUGAGCAGUGCUGGUGGUGGUGGUGUGACACCGAGCUCUGUCCCCACGAGGUGAACGAUUUGGGCACCAGGCUGGGCUGAGGAUGGCUGCACAAAGUACCUGAGCAGAGGCACCCCACCCCGGGCAGGAAUGAGGGGGCCAGGUCGCUUGGGAGCAUCCCCUGACCUUUUACACUCCUCGUGGUUGUUUUUUUUUUUUGCAAUACCAAGCAGGAUUAUUAGGUCAAUCGUUUCUGUAAUCUGCAGGGGAUUACACUGCUCUGCAGCUGCUGUAAACUAUAGGGGCUUUCCCUCUUUCCCUUGAAGAAAAAAAACCAACAAACUCUGUCCUCCAGAGGCUCUUUAAAAAAACCUCCUUUCCCUUGGUAUUCUGCCUGUAAUUCCUCCCGUUCCCCUCCCACCCCCCUGCGCUCGCUGGCUCAGGUUUGAACCCAGCCCUGGAGCUCUCCGGCACGCGGAGGGCUUGGCAGCGGGGCUGCUCUCACCCCAAAGUCCUGCUCCCCAGCUCAGACCCCAAAAAAUAAAAAAGGGGGAUGUCUGGGGAGGGGUCCCAGCCCCUUCUGCCAGUCUGUGCUGCUGCCUCGGCACGGAGAGCCACGGGUGUAAAAGCUGCCCCUUUGCGCCCGGGCUGCCGGCUUCUGCUCGGGUAGGAGCUGGUGCUGCCCCUGGCUUUGAGUGAAUAAAUCCAAUUUUCGGAGCUGCUCCCACAAAGCCUUGCCCUUGGGGUGAGCCUGGGUGAAUCGGGGCAGAAAAGCUUGGUUUCCCCGAGGGGGAAGAGACGCUGCGCUCACCGAGGCUUUGCUGUUUCUAAGGGCUCCUUGGGACCCUGGGGUAAGCAAAUAUCUGGCUCCCUGCUUAAUCCUUGCUGUAACAUCAGCUUGCCUGCAUCAGCCCUAACCACCAGGGCCUUUUUGUCUAGAGGAGAAGCUGUUUUGGUGAGUUUUGUCUCUGCUUUUGGUGGUUUUUGUCUCUCAGCUGCGCCCAGCGCCCUUUCCCAGGCUGUCACCCCCGCGGGUCCCUUCGGCUCCGUCUCCCGGCCCCCCCUCCUGUGCCAGCCGUCUCCCCGCUUUAGGUAAUCCCUAUUUUUUGCAUGCAUUGCCUUAGUGCUCGGAGCUGUGAAGGGUUCGGAGGCGGUUCCUGUGAGACCUGCGUGCAAUAAUUACACCAAGUGCGGGUGCUGCUUUUAGCAGGCUGAUUUGCGCGUUCCGCGCUCCCAGUCAGCAGCCGUGCGCCGAGCUGCUGCUGCUGCUGCUGUCAGGUUUUUAUUCCCUGGCUGGCGUGAACAAAGCUGCCUCUGUAAGAACUGACAGCUUUGUAACCCGGUUUCACCCUGCAGCAGGCAGGUGAAGUGCCUUGCUGCGAUGUGUGAGGGGUUUGGACACAAUCCUCCGAGGGCAGGAGGUGGCCGGAGUGAGCGGGGCGAUGCGCUGCUCUUCGGAGUGCCCAGCUCUGCUUUCUAGCCCAAUUUAAAACCCUGACCACUGGAAAAAGACACAGCAGUUUGUCACCUUGUCACCCGCAGCCCCAUAAGCCAGGAGGAGGAGAAGGGAUUUGAAAUCCUAGAGCAGGAAUCCUCUGCAGGGGGGGCUGAGGAUGCGGAGAGGGACAGCGCCCAUGGCACCAGGGGCUGGAAUCCCAUCAGGGCUGGUUGGAGGUGAGCUGAGACACGCAGGGGAUGCUCACAUCUCAGAGCUUUUCAUCUGAGCAGUCCCUGGGAGAAAAGAGAACCUGGGAGGAGAGCGAAAAUCCAUGCAUUUGUGUCUGCCUCACCCCAAAACCCGCCUGGGUCACAGCCCCUGCCCUGCCCCCUUGCCUGGGUGCUGCGGGCAGGGCUGGGGGUCCCUGCUCUGCUCCUCCAGGAAAAAAAAAACAAAACAAAAAAAAA